AUCAUACUCCCUCCAUCCGGAAAUACUUGUCAUCAAAAUAAAUAAAAGAAGAUGUAUCUAGAUGUAUAUUAGUUCUAGAUACAUCUCUUUUUAUCCAUUUUGAUGACAAGUAUUUUCAGACGGAGGAAGUACCGU
rnacentral:pre_miRNA from 1 species